rnacentral:tRNA from 1 species
GCCGGGGUGGCGGAACGGUAGACGCGGGGGACUUAAAAUCCUCUGCCCAGCGGGCAUGCGGGUUCGAAUCCCGCCCCCGGCA